GGAGAAUGGCGUAAACCCGGGAGGCGGAGCUUGUAGUGAGCUGAGAUCGCGCCACUGCACUGCAGCCUGGGUGACAGAGCGAGACUCCGUCUCGAAAAAAAAAAAAAAAUGCUAUGCCAAUUCUAUGAUUUCUUCUGCAAAUAUUAGCCUCUUUCAGUGUCUUAUUUACCAAGUUAUAAGACUUAAGAGGCUCCUCACAAUUACUCAUCCUUCAGCCUUGAAGAUUUUACCCUCAAGUUCGUCCAACAAACUCAUAAUCGUCCCUUAAAAUCUACUUUAAACAUCAAUUCCUCAGGAGACACCUUGGUGAGUCUGAGUUGGUAGGGUGGGACCUAAUUUCCAGGGUGGUAACUACGCAGCCUCUCAACCGGCGACGUAAACUGAUCCAAAGAGCUGAUUAUUCCCCUUGCACGUUAAAACUAACCACCCUGGCCGGGCGUGGUGGCUCACAGCGAGGCAGGCGGAUCGCUUGAGCCCAUGAGUCCGAGACCAGCCGGGGCAACAUGGCGAAACCCAGCCUCCACCAAAAAAAUACAAAAAUCAGCCGGGCGUGGUGGCGCGCGCCUGUAAGGUAGGAGGAUCGCUUGAGCCUGGAUGGUCGAGACUAUAGUGAGCCAAGACCGCACCAGACCCUGUCUCAAAAAAAAAAAAAGUUGCUCAUAGGAAUGAAAAAUCUGAAAAGAUGGCCAUUGUGAUUUAAAUGACCCGCUGACAGGGCCCCCACGACGGAGGGAGCCGCCCCAGGCUCUCCUCACACUUUUCCCACUCUCCCUGCACCCUGGGGCAUUGAGCAUGCUCAGGCCCUUCCCGCCCACUUCCGGUGGAGCAGCCAACCACCACGCCGGUCAAUUGUGCGCCCGAAACUCGAAAACCAAGUCGCCCAAGGUUGUGUGGGGGUUCGGCUCUGCGUCCCGCGGGCUUCCAGGGGUCCUGCACGGCAUCAGGCCUGAACCGCCGGUCCAGCUGCUCCAGGUCAUCAGUUUGCCCCAUCAUUGGAUAAGGUGGUAUUCUCUACAUUAUAAAGGUACUUAUUUUUCUCUUUGUAAUUAAAAUAUAAUCCUAGAGUAAAAUUUUGAGAAUGUGAAUAUCAUUCCCCCAUAACAUUUUACCCGGUAGGUUUUUUUUUUUUGUUUUUUUGUUUUUUUGAGACGGAGUCUCGCUCUGUCGCCCAGCCCAGGCUGGAGUGCAGUGGCGCGAUCUCGGCUCACUGCAAGCUCCACCUCCCGGGUUCACGCCAUUCUCCUGCCUUAGCCUCCCGAGUAGCUGGGACUACAGGCGCCCGCCACCGCGCCCGGCUAAUUUUUUGUAUUUUUAGUAGAGACGGGGUUUCACUGUGGUCUCGAUCUCCUGACCUUGUGAUCCGCCCACCUCGGCCUCCCAAAGUGCUGGGAUUACAGGCUUGAGCCACCGCGCCCGGCCUACCCGGUAGUUUUUAUAGUUAGUGAUGAUUCUUGCCUGAACAAAUUAUUAUAUUGUGAUUCCAAAUCCAGGAGAUUUUGAAAUUAAAAAUCUUUUCUCAUCCACAGGAAUGACUGCGUAUUAUAACCUGUGGCUAGUUUAUUGAAGAAGAAAAUCAUUACAGGUAGAUUCAGAUGGGCUGAUCUAUAAUAGAGCUGUAAGCUUUGAAUUAUUAUCCUCCAAGUGAACGAGCAGGGGACUAAACAAGACUCCAGUGGGUGCCAUCAGCAUGCCAGGCCAGUGAAACCUAAACCUGAUCAAUCUACAAGGUCUGGGAGGGGUAUCCACUUCUCAGUGGGUUUGCGUUCUACGGAGGCCGGACAAGUUCAGCCCAACUUCCUUUUCACAGUUCCUUCACACUGACCAGAGGGAGCUUACCUUACGCA
ensembl:lncRNA